rnacentral:rRNA from 1 species
UACGGGGGGGGCAAGCGUUGUUCGGAAUUACUGGGCGUAAAGGGCUCGUAGGCGGCCAACUAAGCCAGACGUGAAAUCCCUCGGCUUAACCGGGGAACUGCGUCUGAUACUGGAUGGCUUGAGUUCGGGAGAGGGAUGCGGAAUUCCAGGUGUAGCGGUGAAAUGCGUAGAUAUCUGGAGGAACACCGGUGGCGAAGGCGGCAUCCUGGACCGACACUGACGCUGAGGAGCGAAAGCCAGGGGAGCAAACGGG